GCAUAAUAUAACAAUAAUAAGAUUGUGUGUUGUCGCAAUGCACGGACAUUGUACUAGUAUAUGUAGAUGUUGGACUCAUAAUCCAGUACAAGUCACUGUUGGUUCAAAUGGCCCCAUAGCAUUGAGUGCAUACAUUCAGACAUAUAACCCAAACUAUGGGGCCCCGUAUAGAGCAAGCGACCUCAGGAUGAGCUCCCGAAGAGCAGAAGCACCGGCAAAUGCCACAUUUGGCAUCCCUCUUCUAUCAUUUGAAGAACAAACUGGACAUUCAGAGAAGUUCCUUCAAACAACAGCAGCAUUCUUGUGCUUCCAAAC
rnacentral:misc_RNA from 1 species